GAUGAACGCUGGCGGCGUGCCUAAUACAUGCAAGUCGAGCGAACGGACGAGAAGCUUGCUUCUCUGAUGUUAGCGGCGGACGGGUGAGUAACACGUGGAUAACCUACCUAUAAGACUGGGAUAACUUCGGGAAACCGGAGCUAAUACCGGAUAAUAUUUUGAACCGCAUGGUUCAAAAGUGAAAGACGGUCUUGCUGUCACUUAUAGAUGGAUCCGCGCUGCAUUAGCUAGUUGGUAAGGUAACGGCUUACCAAGGCAACGAUGCAUAGCCGACCUGAGAGGGUGAUCGGCCACACUGGAACUGAGACACGGUCCAGACUCCUACGGGAGGCAGCAGUAGGGAAUCUUCCGCAAUGGGAGAAAGCCUGACGGAGCAACGCCGCGUGAGUGAUGAAGGUCUUCGGAUCGUAAAACUCUGUUAUUAGGGAAGAACAUAUGUGUAAGUAACUGUGCACAGCUUGACGGUACCUAAUCAGAAAGCCACGGCUAACUACGUG
rnacentral:rRNA from 1 species